rnacentral:rRNA from 5 species
CAAAAUGAAUCAAAACUUUCAACAACGGAUCUCUUGGUUCUGGCAUCGAUGAAGAACGCAGCGAAAUGCGAUAAGUAAUGUGAAUUGCAGAAUUCAGUGA